rnacentral:tRNA from 1 species
GAGGAUUUAGCUUAAUUAAAGUGAUUGAUUUGCGUUCAGUUGAUGUAAGACAUAAUCUUGCAGUCCUUA